rnacentral:miRNA from 1 species
GACGGCUACAAAUACCUAAAGCUUGAGAAAGAAACUUGAAGAUAUUGAUUGAAGUCUGGAUCGACCUUUGGUAAUGCUAUGAUCAAGAACAACAAGAUCGUGAGCACAGAUCGGCCAGUUCGGUCACUUUUUAAAAGAGAGAUGUUAUAUUGUUAAUUUGUUAUUAUCAGGUAUAAUAAAUACAGAAUAGUUCGUCCAGAGACCAGACAUUUUAUAGUUUCAAUUUUAUGACAGUCUUGUAAUAAUAUUUGUUUAAUAGUGUGUCACCUUCUAUUUCUGGGUUAUUACUUGAUCCCGAAAUUUUCUUAUUGUUCUAAUUUUGUAAUAUUAGAAAUUUGGUUUUCUUGCCAAAUCAAAUCAAACAUUACGGUGUGUUGUACAUUGUACCA